UGAGGAAUCUUGCACAAUGGGGGCAACCCUGAUGCAGCAACGCCGCGUGAAGGAAGACGGCCUUCGGGUUGUAAACUUCUUUUCUGGGGGAAGAGACGACGGUACCCCAGGAAUCAGACACGGCUAACUACGUGCCAGCAGCCGCGGUAAUACGUAGGUGUCAAGCGUUAUCCGGAAUUACUGGGCGUAAAGGGCACGCAGGCGGUCUGAAUAGUUCAGCGUGAAAGCUCCCGGCUUACCUGGGAGAGGUCGUUGAAAACUUUCAGACUUGAGUCAAAGAGAGGAAGGCGGAAUUCCCGGUGUAGUGGUGGAAUGCGUAGAGAUCGGGAAGAACACCAGUGGCGCAAGCGGCCUUCUGGCUUUUGUCUGACGCUGAGGUGCGAAAGCGUGGGGAGCGAACGGG
rnacentral:rRNA from 1 species